UUUAUGGAAUUUAUAGUAGGCAUAAAAAAAAAUAUAUAUAUAAAAAUUAAAAAGGUCCUACAAAAUAGGCCCUAACCGAUAGACAGAACCAAAUAAAAAAAUUUUCAGUUUGGUACAAUCCCUACUCCAGUUUAAUUCAGUUAAUAUUAUUUCUUAGUUUGAUUUUUCAGUUAUUUUAGCUUGAUCUGUUUCAAUGAGAAAUUCAAUUGAAGGGCCAUCUAGUGGAAUUAUUGUCUCAUGUUAAUCUAUCGAGAGGACAGCUUGGUUUGGAAACCUGCAAUAAAUGGCAUUUUUUCGGUUUCUUCACUCUACAAGGCGCUGGUUAAUGCCACAGAGCAUGAUGGUCUGUUGGUACAGACAGUGUGGCUGGUUAUGCCCCACCAAAAGCAGAGCUUCUUUUGUGGAUGAUUUGUAGGAAUUGUCUAUGUGUGAGGGAUAAAUUGUGCAUCUUAGGAAUAAUUCCAUAGGUUCAAAACCUAUGCCUCUUUUGUUCGGAAUUUGAGGGAACAAUUCCACAUGUAUUUCUCUUUUGUAAGUUUUCAUGGUAGCUGUGGGCUUGGUUUGCAAGGUGGUGGGAAUUUAGCACUUGUAUUCUAGGUUUGAUGUCAUAUUGGUUUAUGCAAUGGAGUUUUUUGAAGCUUGGUAAGUUCCAAAGACAUUUUCUAGACCACUUCGUUUUCGCUAUUAUUUGGUCUUUGUGGAUUGCAAGGAAUGAGAAAGUCUAUAGAACUAAGGAAUGCUUAAUAGCUACAUUGUGCACUUUGGUUUUGCAUAGGUUGUCGAUUUGGAUGAAAGCACUCGAUGUAGGUUUUCCUUUCUCUUGGUGGACUUACUGGUAACGUCAGAGUCGGUUAAAAGUUGGACCAAUUUGAGAACUCAGUGGUCUGUGAUUGAUUGGGUUCCUCCAUUGGGGUCAUCCCUAAGGUGGAACGUGGAUGGGUCAUCGAGGGGGAAAC
rnacentral:misc_RNA from 1 species